UACGACUACAUAUCAGGCAUAUCAAUAAGCGGAGGAAAAGUUCAAGGAGAUCGGUGAGGCUUAUGAAGUCCUGUCCGAUGACCAGAAGCGUCCCCGUUACGACCAGUUCGGCUUUGCCGGUGUGGAUCCCAACUAUGGCGGCGGUGCCGGUGGCUAUGGCGGCGGUUACGGCGGCUUCAGCGGCUUCGGUGAUUUCGGCGAUCUGGGAGACCUGUUCGGCUCCUUCUUCGGCGGUGGCCGCAGCAGCGGACGUGCCAGCAAUGGUCCCCGUCCCGGCGAAAGCAUCGGCGUUCGGCUGGAUCUGACCUUUGUGGAGGCAGCCUUCGGUUGUGAGAAGGAAGUUACCGUCACCCGCACCGAAAACUGCGCUGCCUGUAACGGCUCCGGCUCUGCUGACGGCAAUGUGGAAACCUGCAGCCAGUGCCGUGGCUCCGGUCAGGUUCGUACCACCCAGAGCUUCAUGGGCAUGAGUAUGCAGUCCACCAGCUGUCUGCCCCUCCUGCAGCGGCAGAGGUAAGAUCGUCCGAAAUCCCUGCAGUGUCUAGUAAGGGUAAAACCAAGGUUCGUCGGAACCAGAAGGUGAAGAUUUCCGUUCCCUGCGGCGUAAACCACGGUCAGUCUGUGCGGAUGCGUGGGCAGGGUCAUGCCGGCAGCAACGGCGGACCCAGCGGCGAUUUGCUGGCUGAGGUCAGCAUCCGUCAGCACCCGAUCUUCAGCCGUGAGGGCAAUGCCGUUCACUGCAAGGUUCCCAUUACUUUCACCCAGGCGGCACUGGGUGCAACCAUUAUGAUACCUACGCUUAGGAUGUUGACUGAUAUGUAGUCGUA
rnacentral:rRNA from 1 species